GCUAAAAAUGUAGAAAGAUAAUAUUUAAGUAUAAUCCAAGUACAAAUGAGAACAAAAUGAAAAUAAUUAAUUUUGUUGUUUUUUCCUAUAGUAUAAAAAAACAAUACCCCGGAGAUUACCGAAAUUACAAGCUGUGAGGUCGUUUCAUCUUACGCCUACCUAGGUUCACUGGUUACUAACAGUGGUACUACGCGGUAAAAUGCGAUCGGCCAUGGAUAAACUCAGAAAAGUAUGGAAGGACCGGAAUAUCACCAAGACUACCAAAGUCCGACUGGUUAACGUCAACAGUGCAAUCCAGGAUUCUUCGAUAUUUUGGACACGUAUCACAUCGGCCAGCAGAGUCUAUCAAGAAACUUGUUCAGGGUAGGGUGUCAAUGGUAAGAGAUCUCAUGGAUGAAUCCCCAUGCAUUGGACUGAUCAGGUGAAAGACCUUACUGAAACCCCACUUAAUGAGUGUGUGCGCCGGGCCUCGGUUCGUAAACUGUGGAAAACAUCUGUCAAGGCUUUAAUUAGCAAGAAUUCCACAUGACCACGACUGCUCUGCCAAGAGCAACCGAUUAUGAUGAUGAUAAAGUCUCGAUUGUUUCUUGAAAGUAUAGAGAUCUUAAUAAAGAUCUAAAAAUUAACAGGUCAGUAAGAUAGUUAUGAAUUGUUUUAUAGAAAAUUCCCAAACUUUUCGAAAAGUUGGUCAGCAUAGUCGAAUUCAUACCUACUGAAACCUCUAACAUGAGUUUUCAGACUCCCAUGUGUGUAUUUAAUGAAGUAAACCAUUACCACCCUUCAAGA